ACUCAAAUGAAUUGACGGGGGCCCGCACAAGCAGCGGAGCAUGUGGUUUAAUUCGAAGCAACGCGAAGAACCUUACCAGGUCUUGACAUCCAGGUAAAGCCGCAGAGAUGCGGUGUGUGCUUGCACGAUCUGAGACAGGUGGUGCAUGGUUGUCGUCAGCUCGUGUCGUGAGAUGUUGGGUUAAGUCCCGCAACGAGCGCAACCCUUGCCGAUAGUUACUAACGGGUAGAGCCGAGGACUUUAUCGGGACCGCCGGGGACAACUCGGAGGAAGGUGGGGACGACGUCAAAUCAUCAUGCCCCUUAUGACCUGGGCUACACACGUGCUACAAUGGCCGAGACAGAGAGAUGCGAAGGCGCGAGCCGGAGCGGACCUCAGAAAAGCGGUCACAGUUCGGAUUGCGGGCUGCAACCCGCCCGCAUGAAGCAGGAGUUGCUAGUAAUCGCGAAUCAGCAUGUCGCGGUGAAUACGUUCCCGGGCCUUGCACACACCGCCCGU
rnacentral:rRNA from 1 species